CAAAACGUAGCUUAACUUAAAGCAUCUCGCUUACACCGAGAAAAUACCUGCUCAAACCCAGGUCGUCUUGA
rnacentral:tRNA from 3 species